rnacentral:rRNA from 1 species
GACGAACGCUGGCGGCGCGCUUAACACAUGCAAGUCGAGCGAUGAAACUUUAACAGAACCCUUCGGGGCGAAGAUAAAGUGGAUUAGCGGCGGACGGGUGAGUAACACGUUAUUAACCUGCCUUAGACAUUGGGAUAGCCUCGGGAAACCGGGAUUAAUACCACAUAAAAUCAUAAUGACACAUGUCAUAACGAGCAAAACUCCGGUGGUCUAAGAUGGACUCGCGUCCCAUUGGCUAGUUGGUAGAGUAAAAGCCUACCAAGGCGACGAUGGGUAGCCGGCCUGAGAGGGUGAACGGCCACAUUGGAACUGAGCAACGGUCCAAACUCCUACGGGAGGCAGCAGUGGGGAAUAUUGCCCAAUGGAGGGAACUCUGAUGCAGCGACGCCGCGUGAACGAAGAAGGCUUUCGAGUCGUAAAGUUCUUUUAUAUGGGAAGAUAAUGACGGUACCAUAAGAAAAAGCCCCGGCUAACUACGUG